UACGUAGGCGGUUUGGUAAGUCAGGUGUGAAAUCCCGGAGCUCAACUCCGGAACUGCAUCCGAUACUGCCAGACUUGAGUAAUGGAGAGGCAGGUGGAAUUCUCGGUGUAGCAGUGAAAUGCGUGGAUAUCGAGAGGAAGACCAAUGGCGAAGGCAGCCUGCUGGACAUUUACUGACGCUGAGGUACGAAGGCCAGGGUAGCGAAAG
rnacentral:rRNA from 1 species